CACAGAGGGAGAACACCCACCCACCCAGCUCCCUGCUGCCAGAGGGGUCCCUUUCCUCCUCCCCAGUAAGUCUUGUGGGCAUCCUGGCUUUGCUGGGAUGCUUGCAGACGGCCUGGCUACUUUCUAGAGAAGCAUCAGUUGUUUUUAUCUCUGCCAGUGAGAAGAGGCCAGAGAGAGUGGCUUAUCCCACGAUAAUCCUAGAGACAGGAGAAUAUUUCCCCCAGGAAUACUCACCAUUAUUUGGGAGCUGGGGGACUCAAAAAGCAGAUUUCAAGGACAACCCCAAAUACAGGAAAAAAAUUAGAGCUGGCAACAUCUGGGAACAAGAAGAAGCUUAAAGCAGAAAGCAGAGACAGAGAAUGUGUCAGAGAUUGACACCAUUAGGAUUUCUUAAAGCAAAUCUAUCUCCUUCAUCACAGUGGAAUAUAUUCUCCACUGAGCAAGCUGACCCAGUGGAAGGUGUCCAUGCCCACAGCAGGGAGUUAGAACAAGGCAAGACAGGAGGUGCUCCUGAGCCAGGAGUCUUCAAAGUCCACAUCACACCUGGCCUGAAACACCCUGGACCUUAUCUGCUGGGGAGGAGAGUUCCAAAUUAGAGAGUUACCCCAGUGUGACCUGCUGAAAUCACAGCUGCUGCCUGCAGCAGGGAAGAAAAGCCUCUGGCCCAGGAGUGUGCAACACUGUCAGUCCCAUUACUAGCGAACACUGCUCCAACACACCUUCCCCUUACUAUCCCUUUGCCUUUACUGGGUCAUGAUUGUCCUCUGAGGAAUUUCUCUUGAGCUGGAUUUCUUUCUGCAGACUUCUUGGUGAGCACUGUGCAAAUGACACGUAGCUGUCUUCAGGCUAAGAGAGGAAAUCUUUUGUUUUCACUCUGAUCUGGCCAGAAAUGCUGAAUAUGCAUCUCUUGAAACACUUGUUUUCCUUUCCUGCAGCCACACCUGUAAGUGCCACAUUCCCUGUUGGAGCAAUCAGAGUGGUUCCAGUGAUGUGCAAACUGGUGUCUUCACAGAACCACAGAGCAGUUUGGGUUGGCAGGGACCUUAAAGAUAGAACCCCCUGCCGUGGGCAGGAGUGACACCCACUAGGUCAGACUGCCCAGAGCUCCAUCCAGCCUGGCCCCAUCCCAGCCAUCAGCUGGUCUGGAUCUCAUUUCAAGGCUCUGUGUUCUUCCAUGAGACAUCUGAAUCUCACAUAAAAUGUUUCAUAUAGUCACUUAACUCCUGAUCCCUGGAUUUCCUACCUCAGCGUGGUUAAUAGCUCACAUCCACUUCUGGCAUGAUGAGAUAUUUAUUAUUGCUGUGGAAGUCACGCCAGCCAGGGAAUUAGAUCACCUUAUGACACUUCCUUGACCUCUGCACCAGCACAAGAAAAACAAACAAAAUUAUUGCUUAGGUGCUGUUCCACCUUUUUGUGUUUCAAGUAGAAAACCUUGCAGGGAUUCCAGAUCUCAAAAGAUAAGUACCAACAGAAGAAAGGCACUUCUCAGUGCUCCGAAGCUUUGCUUGUAUAAUGCUUCCCCAGACAACACCUGUUACUUAGACCCUUGUGUUUUCCAUCCCAAGAACAGCUUCCUGACGCCUGAGCUGUGCAGCUGCCCUGUGGCUGCCUUCUGUCUGCCGGGCAGGCAGCCCCGGGCUGGGGCAGGAGGAGGCUCUGGGGGCAGGCAGCCCCGGGCUGGGGCAGGAGGAGGCUCUGGGGGCAGGCAGCCCCGGGCUGGGGCAGGAGGAUGCUCUGGGGGCAGGCAGCCCCGGUGUUGAUGGAGGAGGAUGCUCUGGGGGCAGGCAGCCCCGGGCUGGGGCAGGAGGAUGCUC